GAUGAACGCUAGCGGCAGGCUUAAUACAUGCAAGGCGAGGGGCAGCAAUGUCACCGUCGUACGGGUGCGUAACGCGUAUGCAACCUACCUUCAACUGGGGAUAGCCCGGGGAAACCCGGAUUAAUACCGCAUAAUACAUUAGAUUCACAUGGAUUUAUUGUUAAAGAUUUAUUGGUUGAAGAUGGGCAUGCGUUCGAUUA
rnacentral:rRNA from 1 species